UAAAUUUUCGAUCUACUAAGCAUACCUAGUGAAGUGGUGUGAAAGAAGAAGGCUCAAACACUAAGAAAACGGGAGACUCACAAGAUCGAGGUAAAUCCUCAAUCUAGGCGGUUGGACGAUUUGGAGCGAGCACAUGCACACUUAUUGACCAUUAAGCGCUUCCGCUAUUUCGUAUUAAUGUUUUGGGUCAAAAAGCUUGUUUUGUAUAACCUUGUUAGUAGU